GACGAACGCUGGCGGCGUGCUUAACACAUGCAAGUCGAACGGAAAGGCCCUGCUUUUGUGGGGUGCUCGAGUGGCGAACGGGUGAGUAACACGUGAGUAACCUGCCCUUGACUUUGGGAUAACUUCAGGAAACUGGGGCUAAUACCGGAUAGGAGCUCCUGCUGCAUGGUGGGGGUUGGAAAGUUUCGGCGGUUGGGGAUGGACUCGCGGCUUAUCAGCUUGUUGGUGGGGUAGUGGCUUACCAAGGCUUUGACGGGUAGCCGGCCUGAGAGGGUGACCGGCCACAUUGGGACUGAGAUACGGCCCAGACUCCUACGGGAGGCAGCUGUGGGGAAUAUUGCACAAUGGGCGGAAGCCUGAUGCAGCAACGCCGCGUGCGGGAUGACGGCCUUCGGGUUGCAAACCGCUUUCGCCUGUGACGAAGCGUGAGUGACGGUAAUGGGUAAAGAAGCACCGGCUAACUACGUG
rnacentral:rRNA from 1 species